rnacentral:rRNA from 1 species
ACGCCUAAGGAUGGGGCUGCGGCCGAUCAGGCAGUUGGUGAGGUAAAGGCUCACCAAACCUUUGACCGGUACGGGCCAUGAGAGUGGUAGCCCGGAGAUGGACACUGAGACAAGGGUCCAGGCCCUACGGGGCGCAGCAGGCGCGAAACCUCCUCAAUGCACUCACGUGCGAAGGGGUUACCUCGAGUGCCGCCUGAAGAAGGCGGCUUUUCCAUGGUCUAAAACGCCUAGGGAAUAAGAGGGGGGCAAGACUGGUGUCAGCCGCCGCGGUAACACCAGCCCCUCGAGUGGUGGGGAUGAUUAUUUGGCCUAAAGCGUCCGUAGCCGGCCGGGUAAGUCUCCCGUUAAAUCCAGCGUCUCAAGCGUUGGACUGCGGGAGAUACUGUCUGGCUAGAGAGUGGGACAGGUGUACGGUAUUCUGGGGGUAG